CUCGCCGAUGCUCAACACAUAAGCUUUUAAGGUAUUCCUGAGACAACCUGUGGACAACCUGUGGACUUGACGACCUAAUGCUAACAGCUCUGACAGACUAGUGCUAACAACUUAGCAACAAAGCAUUGCGUUUUACUGCCUACCACGCACAACUGCUGCUGAUCGCUGGUCAGAUUCCAUAAUCCUGGGCAUGAUGACAAAGGAAGGAGACAAUCACUAGUCCUGUACAGCUUCCCACAGCAAUGAGCAGCACUGCAAGAUACCCCAAAAGGAGGGAACACCCAGGGUUUCAGCAUCAAAGGAACACCUAUGGCAGCUGCCUUGUGAACUGAGCAGCCUCCAGAGCCUCUGACCCUGCAGGACGAAGCCACCAUUGCUGGACUACCCAGUCCUGAUGUGCGAACCAAUCUAGUAGAUUGCUUUUGAAUGUAAACACAUUCUAUUAGUUCCCAGGCCUCCCAUGCUGCUAUACUUGGCCACAGGGGAUGCUAUCUCAAGUAGAAAACUGGUGCACUGAUGCCUCAUGUCUUCAUUUAACAUGAGGGCUCUUCUAGAGACUUCAUCUGCAGGAAGGCCCAGUGGUGGGGGCUGCUCCGUGCUAGGUCUCGGCAGCUGGUGAUUAAUUCCAAGGUCGACUUACAAUGUUUAUGUGUGCGGAUAUAAAUGGAGGUGAGUGUGGGUGUGAGCAAUGGAACUAGAAAGACCACAAGGGGAGGAAAUGGAAGGUGGGAAGGACAGCAAGACACAGUCAACACAGAAGUGGAGGCUAUGAUCAGUGGUGGGUGUAUAAAUAAUUCAGGAAAAUGGGGGAGACAUGAGAAGAAGAAGCAACAAAAACAAAUUGUGUUAGAAAAUGUCAUAAUAGGAGGAAUCAUCAGAGCUUUUACAGAUGUCAAAGCAGAGUUACACAAAUCAAGCUCCAGAAGAAGUCUUUCCUAGCAGAAGUUGGUAGUCAAUGACAGGCAUAUUUAAACACAGCACAAUCUGGACAAAAAAUUUCCUGGUGACAAGUACUCAAUCUCAUGUGUACAACAAAGCUUAAGACCUGACUUCAUCAACACUCUUGUAAAGAGCAAGUGCCAUCUUCCAGAAAGGUGCUGUUUUCAAGGAAGGUUGAGAGGGACAAGAUGGCUGUGUAAAUAAUCAAGAGUUCCACAGAGGAUGCAAAGAGAGCACAAAGCAUCUGAGGGGACAUCAACUCAACUUGGUGAAAGGUGUCUGAGCCAUCUGCUGAAUGGAAAGUGCCCAGAGGGAGAGACAGUGCGGAUGAAGAAUCAGGAUGCAGACCAAGAAUCAAGGAGCUGAGGUGGUGGCCAUGGCAGCAGCAGCAGCAGCAGUGGUGUUGGUGGUGGUGGCAGUGGUUACUCCAGGAAGUAGUGCCUAGUGUGAAGGCUCGACUACUGGGGACACAGUGAAGGACACUGGUGGAAGUGGAGUGCUCAGGAAAAGUGAAAAUGUUGGCAGCAUUGAGUAACUUUCAAGAGUAAAAGACAUAAGAAGACGUAGAAAAGAGAACAAGGGAGCUUGGAAAAAAGAAAAAUACAUAGAAAAAAUUGAGAAGAAACAUGAAAAAAUGGAAAUGGAAAUGGCUGUAUGCUCUUUGUACAAAUGCUUAAGAAUACAAUUCACUAAACUAGGGAACCGGCUUUUUAGGAACAGAGUUUUUUAGAUUUUGUAGAAAAGGUUUGUCCUUGGUUUUCUUAGGAAGGUAUAAUAUAUUUAGCAACCUGGAAGAAAGUUGGAAAAAGACUUCAAAUAUAUUGUGAUGUGAAUGGACUAGGUAAAGUGCCUGUAGAUAAUUUUAGUCUUUGACCUUGAACAGGGCUUGGAGAGAGAAGUGGGUUGUGGAGAAGGGAAGUGAAGUAAGCGUCCCCAGAGCCAGGCGUGGAUGCUUGCCACCACGAUAGAAGUGUGCCUA
rnacentral:lncRNA from 1 species